AUGAUACGUUCCAAGGGUGAAGCUAACGCUUCCCUGGCCACUAGGGAGUCAUCAAGAGAUAUGGGAUUGCCUCUUUUAUGGCUUCCUGCUGCAACUACUAGGAGACUGGCAGAGUCCGGGGUGAGAGGUUUGAUUCAGGGCGUCGGUAGGGCUUGCCUUAGUGAAAAGUAG